rnacentral:rRNA from 1 species
CGAGUUUACAACUCCCAAACCCCUGUGAACAUACCAAUUGUUGCCUCGGCGGAUCAGCCCGCUCCCGGUAAAACGGGACGGCCCGCCAGAGGACCCCUAAACUCUGUUUCUAUAUGUAACUUCUGAGUAAAACCAUAAAUAAAUCAAAACUUUCAACAACGGAUCUCUUGGUUCUGGCAUCGAUGAAGAACGCAGCAAAAUGCGAUAAGUAAUGUGAAUUGCAGAAUUCAGUGAAUCAUCGAAUCUUUGAACGCACAUUGCGCCCGCCAGUAUUCUGGCGGGCAUGCCUGUUCGAGCGUCAUUUCAACCCUCAAGCCCAGCUUGGUGUUGGGACUCGCGAGUCAAAUCGCGUUCCCCAAAUUGAUUGGCGGUCACGUCGAGCUUCCAUAGCGUAGUAGUAAAACCCUCGUUACUGGUAAUCGUCGCGGCCACGCCGUUAAACCCCAACUUCUGAAUGUUGACCUCGGAUCAGGUAGGAAUACCCGCUGAACUUAAGCAUAUCAAUAAGCGGAGGAAAAGAAACCAACAGGGAUUGCCCUAGUAACGGCGAGUGAAGCGGCAACAGCUCAAAUUUGAAAUCUGGCUCUCGGGCCCGAGUUGUAAUUUGUAGAGGAUACUUUUGAUGCGGUGCCUUCCGAGUUCCCUGGAACGGGACGCCAUAGAGGGUGAGAGCCCCGUCUGGUUGGAUGCCAAAUCUCUGUAAAGUUCCUUCGACGAGUCGAGUAGUUUGGGAAUGCUGCUCUAAAUGGGAGGUAUAUGUCUUCUAAAGCUAAAUACCGGCCAGAGACCGAUAGCGCACAAGUAGAGUGAUCGAAAGAUGAAAAGCACUUUGAAAAGAGAGUUAAAAAGUACGUGAAAUUGUUGAAAGGGAAGCGUUUAUGACCAGACUUGGGCUUGGUUGAUCAUCUGGGGUUCUCCCCAGUGCACUCUUCCAGUCCAGGCCAGCAUCAGUUUUCGCCGGGGGAUAAAGACUUCGGGAAUGUGGCUCUCUUCGGGGAGUGUUAUAGCCCGUUGUGUAAUACCCUGGCGGGGACUGA